rnacentral:tRNA from 1 species
GGCGGGCUACCCGAGCGGCCAAAGGGGGCUGACUGUAAAUCAGCUGGCAUUGCCUACGUGGGUUCGAAUCCCUCGCCCGCCA